GGAUAACUUACCCUUUAGGACUGGGAUAACUCUGGGAAACUGGGGAUAAUACUGGAUAUUUGGCUAUGCCUGGAAUGGUUUGCCUUUGAAAUGUUUUCUUUUUCGCCUAAGGAUAGAUCUGCGGCUGAUUAGGUCGUUGGUGGGGUAAUGGCCCACCAAGCCGAUGAUCGGUACGGGUUGUGAGAGCAAGAGCCCGGAGAUGGAACCUGAGACAAGGUUCCAGACCCUACGGGGUGCAGCAGGCGCGAAACCUCCGCAAUGUACGAAAGUGCGACGGGGGGAUCCCAAGUGUUAUGCUUUUUUUGUAUAACUUUUCAUUAGUGUAAAAAGCUUUUAGAAUAAGAGCUGGGCAAGACCGGUGCCAGCCGCCGCGGUAACACCGGCAGCUCGAGUGGUAGCUGUUUUCAUUGGGCCUAAAGCGUUCGUAGCCGGUUUGAUAAGUCUUUGGUGAAAGCUUGUAGCUUAACUAUAAGAAUUGCUGGAGAUACUAUUAGACUUGAAGUCGGGAGAGGUUAGAGGUACUACCGGGGUAGGGGUGAAAUCCUAUAAUCCUGGGAGGACCACCUGUGGCGAAGGCGUCUAACUGGAACGAUCUUGACGGUGAGUAACGAAAGCCAGGGGCGCGAACCGGAUUAGAUACCCGGGUAGUCCUGGCCGUAAACGAUGUAGACUUGGUGUUGGAAUGGCUUUGGGUUGUUCCGGUGCCGAAGGGAAGCUGUUAAGUCUACCGCCUGGGAAGUACGGUCGCAAGACUGAAACUUAA
rnacentral:rRNA from 1 species